AUUGAACGCUGGCGGAAUGCUUUACACAUGCAAGUCGAACGGUAGAGGGGGCAACCCCUUGAGAGUGGCGAACGGGUGAGUAAUGUAUCGGAACGUGCCCAGUCGUGGGGGAUAACGUAGUGAAAAUUACGCUAAUACCGCAUACGAUCUAUGGAUGAAAGCGGGGGAUCGCAAGACCUCGCGCGAUUGGAGCGGCCGAUAUCAGAUUAGGUAGUUGGUGGGGUAAAGGCUCACCAAGCCAACGAUCUGUAGCUGGUCUGAGAGGACGACCAGCCACACUGGAACUGAGACACGGUCCAGACUCCUACGGGAGGCAGCAGUGGGGAAUUUUGGACAAUGGACGCAAGUCUGAUCCAGCCAUUCCGCGUGCAGGACGAAGGCCUUCGGGUUGUAAACUGCUUUUGUACGGAACGAAAAAGCUCUUAUUAAUACUAGGAGUCCAUGACGGUACCGUAAGAAUAAGCACCGGCUAACUACGUGCCAGCAGCCGCGGUAAUACGUAGGGUGCAAGCGUUAAUCGGAAUUACUGGGCGUAAAGCGUGCGCAGGCGGUUAUAUAAGACAGAUGUGAAAUCCCCGAGCUUAACUUGGGAACUGCAUUUGUGACUGUAUAGCUAGAGUACGGCAGAGGGGGAUGGAAUUCCGCGUGUAGCAGUG
rnacentral:rRNA from 1 species